CAGUAGCCACGGUAAUACAGAGGGUGCGAGCGUUAAUCGGAUUUACUGGGCGUAAAGCGUGCGUAGGCGGCUUCUUAAGUCGGAUGUGAAAUCCCUGAGCUUAACUUAGGAAUUGCAUUCGAUACUGGGAAGCUAGAGUAUGGGAGAGGAUGGUAGAAUUCCAGGUGUAGCGGUGAAAUGCGUAUAGAUCUGGAGGAAUACCGAUGGCGAAGGCAGCCAUCUGGCCUAAUACUGACGCUGAGGUACGAAAGCAUGGGGAGCAAACAGGAUUAGAUACCCCAGUAGUCCCUGUCUCUUAUAU
rnacentral:rRNA from 1 species